GUGGGGAAUUUUGGACAAUGGGCGAAAGCCUGAUCCAGCCAUGCCGCGUGAGUGAUGAAGGCCUUCGGGUUGUAAAGCUCUUUAGUCCACGAAUAUAAUGACUGUAGUGGAAGAAUAAGCCCCGGCUAACUUCGUGCCAGCAGCCGCGGUAAUACGAAGGGGGCGAGCGUUAUUCGGAAUCACUGGGCGUAAAGCGUGCGUAGGCUGUUUUGUAAGUCAGAAGUGAAAGCCCAGGGCUUAACCCUGGAAUUGCUUUUGAAACUACAAGACUCGAAUUCGGGAGAGGAUAGCGGAAUUGUCAGUGUAGCAGUGAAAUGCGUAGAUAUUGACAGGAACACCAGUGGCGCAAGCGGCUAUCUGGACCGAUAUUGACGCUGAGGCACGAAAGCGUGGGGAGCAAACAGGAUUAGAAACCCUGGUAGUCC
rnacentral:rRNA from 1 species